AAACUAGCCAAUAAGUCUGCUUACCUGAAUGUGUCUUGGCAGAAAUUUAGAGAAAAAUGACAUUAGUAGAACCACGUUAUGAGCUUUAAAGAUAUUGAAGUCAUUAAGAUUCCUGAAAAUGGCUGUAAGA